UGGUGGAGCGAUUUGUCUGGUUAAUUCCGAUAACGAGCGAGACCUCAGCCAGCUAACUAGUCCGCCGGUUCGUAUAUGCUUCGGCAUGAACCGGGAUUACGGGCUUCUUAGAGGGACUAUCACCGUGUAGGUGAUGGAAGUUUGAGGCAAUAACA
rnacentral:rRNA from 1 species